rnacentral:tRNA from 1 species
CUGUGGACAGUAAGACGCCUGUCUUGAACAGGAUGAACUUUCCCGUGCUUUUUAGAACAUAAAUCGGACCAGUCAGGUCACGAUCGAAACGUAAUACGCCACGGAAUUACUUCGGUAAUCGGAUUGGUAUGGCAAGGUUCGCCGUCCACGUUUCUCUUUCUUCAAGAAGACAAAAGCCGCAUCGACCGGUACCGGAAUGGGCCCGUAGCUCAGUUGGUUAGAGCACACGCUUGAUAAGCGUGGGGUCGGAAGUUCAAGUCUUCCCGGGCCCACCAUUUGCAUAUGCGAAUGAGGGUUUGGGUUGAGACUGUUGGUUGAUGCGAAUUGUUGCCGCGCCUGGUUGAUGAGACUUGGGUGAUCGAGCUGGAUGGGGCUGUAGCUCAGCUGGGAGAGCACCUGCUUUGCAAGCAGGGGGUCAGCGGUUCKAUCCCGCUCAGCUCCACCAUUUAAUUGCGCUCACGGGUGAGCGGUCCUUCGGACCUACCCUCCGCGAGGGCGCCGAACGAUCGGCGACGCGCUACCGCGCUGUACUGGAGAAUUGAUCCGGCGGCUGCGAAUUGUCUUCUUUGAGGAAAUAAAAGUUUGCAUCGUCUGAGAGGACUGAUGCCUGUUCUGAAUACAUUGUGAAGAGAAGAUAUGUCUGGAAGCUUCCAGGUGUUUUGAGCCCUUGUGGUUUGAAACGUCCGAGCCCAGUCCCAGAGAAACCAUGUGAUGGCUUAGUCGGCCGGAAUUGGCGGAGGGAUUGGAGGUAGGUAGGAAAGCUUGUCCGAGGCAUUUUUGUUGUUUGAAGGUUUAGGCCUUCAUCUGAUGGGAAUGCUGGAUUGAUGUUGCCUGACCGCGCAUCACCGGAUGAUAUCUCGAGAAGCUGGUCUUAAUGGUAUGGCUUCGAGGUGCACCGGCGUGCCCUCAAUGAAGACCGUACCGACACGUCGAUGUCAUCAGGAAAGACUUGAUUGUAAAAGGUAAUCAGGUUGCCGUUCCUUUGGAGCGGCUAUGGAUGAGCAUAGA